UGGGGAGAGGAAGAUAUAACGGAGGGAGGGGGAGUGUGCACUGUGCAGUUGACUACAGAGAGAGAGAGGGAGAAGGAGAGCAAGAGAGAGAGGAGAGAGAGAGGGAGAGAGAGAGAGAGAGAGAGUGCAGCUCGCCGGCCCAUUGAGGAAAGAUGGCUACAGUCACUGCAAACGGAGUGCAGCAAGAGAAUGGAUUCAGCACCACGAACAGCGCCGGCAGGAUGAACGGGCUUACCAUCGGCCAGAACACCAUUCCAAUGAAGGACCACGACGCCAUCAAGCUUUUCAUCGGGCAGAUUCCCAGAAACCUGGAGGAAAAAGACCUGAAACCCCUGUUUGAGGAAUUCGGAAAGAUAUACGAACUCACUGUACUGAAAGACAGGUUUACGGGAAUGCAUAAAGGAUGUGCCUUUCUAACAUACUGUGCCAGAGAGUCAGCACUGAAGGCCCAGAGCGCCCUCCAUGAACAGAAGACUCUGCCAGGGAUGAACCGGCCCAUCCAGGUGAAGCCAGCCGACAGCGAAGGACGAGGAGAAGACAGGAAGCUGUUUGUGGGAAUGCUCGGCAAGCAGCAGAGCGAGGAUGACGUCCGUCGGCUGUUUGAGACCUUCGGCCAGAUCGAGGAGUGCACCGUCCUGCGAGGGCCUGAUGGGGCCAGUAAGGGCUGUGCCUUUGUCAAGUUCUCCAGCCACGCUGAAGCACAGGCCGCCAUCAACAGCUUACACGGUGGACAGACUAUGCCUGGUGCCUCGUCCAGUCUGGUGGUCAAGUUUGCAGACACCGAUAAGGAGAGGACCCUGCGCAGAAUGCACCAGAUGGCAGGCCAGCUCGGCAUCUUCAGUCCCAUGACCAUCCAGUUUGGGGCCUAUGGCGCCUACUCUCAUGCUGUAAGUCUCAGCCCGGCGGGGGAGGAGACGCAGAUGAUGCAACAGCAAGCAGCCCUGAUGGCAGCAACACAAGGGUCCUACCUGAACCCCAUGGCAGCCAUCGCUGCCGCGCAAAUGCAGCAAAUGGCAGCUUUCAAUGUCAACGGCCUGGUGGCUACUCCCAUGACACCGUCCUCAGGCACCAGCACACCCCCGGGCAUCUCUGCCACAGCCGUGCCCAGCUUAGCUGCCCCUAUCGGGGUCAACGGAUUCAGCACUCUCCCGCCUCAAAGCAACGGGCAACCCACCUCUGAGCCCAUCUACACCAAUGGUAUUCACCCUUACCCAGCACAGAGUCCAACAGUGACCGACCCUCUCCAACAGGCUUAUGCUGGUGUCCAACACUACGCAGCAGCCUACCCUGCCGCCUAUGCGCCAAUCAGCCAAGCGUUCCCCCAGCAACCAACCAUCAUUCCCCAGCAACAGAGGGAAGGGCCAGAAGGUUGCAACCUGUUUAUUUAUCACCUGCCCCAGGAGUUCGGAGAUGCGGAGCUCAUGCAAAUGUUUCUGCCUUUUGGCAACGUCAUCUCUGCCAAAGUCUUUGUGGACCGAGCAACCAAUCAGAGCAAAUGUUUUGGCUUUGUGAGUUUUGAUAACCCAUCCAGUGCUCAAGCCGCAAUUCAGGCCAUGAAUGGCUUCCAGAUAGGCAUGAAGAGGCUGAAGGUGCAGCUAAAGCGGCCAAAGGAUGCCAACCGACCUUACUGACUCGUCUGCUGUCCAUACCCAGAGUGGGAGGUGGCCUUUCUCCGCUAUAGCCACCCCCUCCCACACUCCUGUCAUGGGGCCAAGUUCCCACAGCUGAUGAAGGGCCACAACACCUUAUUUCCACAAGUGCAGUAAAAGUACAAAGACUUCUUGCUCUGCUACAUAUCAUGAAGGAAGGGUGGUCCCUUGAUCCUGCUGGAAACCCGCUGAAAGAUUGGGUGACUGAGAGAGGGAUCCCAGAGUUGUUUUUAUUUUAUUUUAUUUUAUUUUUUCUUUCUUCGCAAAUGCCUCUUUUUUCCCUGUUUUGCUUUGGCGUCUGUGGAAGAAGAUUUUUUGCAGAGACCAACUUUUUGCUGCUGUUUUUUAGACAUGAUGGGAAAAAAACCUUUAUAGACUCAUUAUGCUCAAAGCAUGCAUACUGACACAGGAUAUAGAUAGACACACAUACACACAGAUAACAAACCAAACACACACAUUUAAGGAUGCUACACUUAAAAAAAAGGAAAAAAAGAAAUAAAAAUACUUUGUACAUGUAUAAAUACGUGCAAAUGCCAACUCAAGUACUGAAGCAAACACAUGCGUGUGCGUGCACACACAGACACACACAUAUACACAAACACACACACCAGCCUGCUGCCAUUUUGGUUUUUGUGCCUACACAGGUGUUGUGCUCUGUGACAGGGCAAGCUCUGGAUCAAAGAAGAAAACAAGAAGAAGAGGAGAGAAGAGGAGAAUCCAGGAUAAUUUACAUGCAUCAUUCCUUAGGAAAUAGGGACCAAAGGACUAAACGCUUUUUAAAAAAAUAUAAAUAUAUAAAUAUAUAAAUAUAUAUUUAAAAACUCAUACCUUGUAGCUGCAAGUAUUACAAUUUACUCGUAGUCAAAAAAAUCAUUAAAUCAAUAUCCAGUGGCCUACUGUAAGUACGAAUAAAAGAAAAUGGAAAUGCUGUAUAAAAAAAGACAUGGAAUCGUAGUAUAGGGGCUGAUCUUUUGCUCUGGAUGCUGAUUUAGCACCAGGUUGUAGAAUAGUAUAGUAGAUUAGAAAAAAAAAAAAGUAGAUUUGCUAACUUUUGCUGUUGUUUAAAAAAAAAUACUUGAAGUCGUAAUGAAAAAGGGGGCAAAAGGGGGGAGGAGGAAAAACAUUCAUCUGCCCCUGUACGCAACGAGUCUCUUUUUCUUGGAUGUUAAGGUAUCAGCCACUGGAUAUCUCGCUCAUCAUGAUGUAUAAGUCACUGCAGUCUCUGACAGCUAUGGAAGAAAAAAAAAAGAAUGAAGAGAGAAAAAAAAAAGAAGACUGAACUUACUAAUGUCUGCGCUGGACAGGGUGCAGACAUUUAAGGCUUCUCACUAGCCUUUGUGUUCAAGCGACAAUCCACUGUAAAGACCAAGCAAAAUGGACAUGGUGUGUCUUUUGUUUAUUUUUAUUUUAUUUUCUUGACCUUUUGUAUUGCAACAAGAAGUGUGAAUUGUGAAGCCACAAAUUGUUAAAAGGAGAUGGUUCAACUAAGCGAUGGACAAAUGGAUGGUGACGAGGGGAACAGAACGGGAGGAGGAGUAAGGUGACAGCUACUGAAACUGCCAGCAGAAUGAACUCAGUAUACAAAUGAAUUGGCCCUUGUGGCGUCAGAAUUCUGUCACAAAACAAAGUAUGCCCGUUGUAAACAAGCAGGACUUAUAUAAGCGACAUGCCAAGGAUAUGUGUGUCCACUGGAGCAGCUGCAAAACUCCAGAUUAAGAAUAAUCUCCUCUUGUCUCUUGGCAGAUACAAACAAACAUUUCUCUGAAGACAAACUCAAUUUACUGUAUUGAUGGCAAAGAGGUGCAGGCUUUUAGAGCUCAUUUAGCUCUUUCAAAUAUAAUGUAAAUUCCAUUAUUAACAUGUUCCCUGACAUGCUUUCUUCAUAAAUUAUACAUAGAGCCUAUGGAAAAAAAAGCUACUGCUUAAACAGACUAUAUCUAAAUUAGAUUUAACAGUCACUCUUAACCAUCACUCAGCUCGCUUGUAGCCUCUCUGACACUGACGCCAGGCAUAACAAAGUGAAGCACUCCAGUACUGUCAUGUCUUGAUUUAGAGUGCUGUAGCCUUUAUUUUGACUGUUUUAGAGCUCGAGAUUGUGUUCUCUAAAAGCAGAUCAAUAUGUGUGGAAUGAGUCUAGAGGGAGGAGCGAUGCUGUUUCAAUCAGUCUGAACACUUCCCAGUUUUCUCUAUCGAACACCAGCUCACAUCCGUACACCAGCCCUUUGAGCACUGACAGCUGGCAGUAAGAGGCAUGGCUAGGCGAGAAUGAGAGAGGGAGGUGAAAAGAGGAAGUCAACAACCAAACAUGACACUGAGAUCCUUUAAAUUAGUCUUUUCGGAUGAUGCCCAAUGACUUAAUCCGUAAAAUUAGAAGCUGUAAUCGAGCUCAUGGUGACACACACUACAUAUCUGUGCUAUAUGCUUUCAUAGAACAGGAUUAAAGGGUUCAAAUAGGAGUCUGGUACCUUAGGCUCCAGUCCAACAGUUCCUUUUUGCGACUAGGACUCUUCUUGUUGCCAUUCCCUCCCUCUUUCUCUAUCUUCCUUUAGAGAGAAAAGCAGACCAGACUUAUUUGAAAUCACUGAAAGAGAGACUGAUAAAAUGUGCCAGCAGAUUCAGUCUAUGAUUAUUCUUUGUCAUUUAAAUAAGCAAAAAAAAGUCUUGAUUCAAAUCCUUUAUAUCAGCGUGCCAUGCACCCCCUCUCUUCCCCCUGUCCUAAGAGCAGUCAUGCCUUUCCAAACCUCAGUCCAACUGUUCAGUGGCUCUCCCUUUGGAACAGCAUUUUUGAACCUGGCUAAUGUCUAUGCCCACUACCCUUCAAUUAUCUCCUGCACCGUAUUAGACAUGCUAUUUCACCUUUCCCUCUAAUCACACUGUAAUCACCAGCCUCUAUACAUUAGCAGCAACCAAGUGAAAAAUCACCGGGAUAAUCACUUGGACCAAAUGACGGGAGAGAUGGUCCCCUGCAUGCACAUGGAUGACAGAAGGAAGAUUAGAGAGAAUUAUGUUUGUGCCUACUCCCUGGCAAGGCUGCAGACAGCUGACCUGGCACCAAUAAUACUGCCAAAUUUACCCAUAGAGGCUAUGGAAGAUGUGGGAUAAAACCUUCGAUAUCAUAGCGAGGUCUUGGUAUUGGAAAGUAAAUUGAUGUUACCAAAAUGAAGAGAAAAAUGGAUGGCAACAUUUUCAGAACCUCUGGGACACCUGCAAACCAAAGUAUUGCUCAAAGCUGAAACAAUAUUGCUUGUGAAGCAUGGUAUUUCUUCAGGUUCAAAAUGAUGCCCAUCAAAAUACAGCUUUUCAAAAAAGAAAUUGCCUUCCAAAAAUAAAAACAAAAAUUGCCCCUCAUGUAGGGCAAAACCUGGCCCCCCUUCCUCAGUCCUCGAUUGGACGUUAAGUGGAAAUGCAGGAAGGUACAUGAAUUGUAGUGAUGUGAAGUAGGUCAAAACAAAGCCAUGUUCUGCAAACUGUUUGUGCUCAUUAUUCAUGUGAAGCUGAACUAAUCGAUGGGAAAUCUAAUGUUCCAUGAGCAAUGAAAUUUCCUGUGCUUGUCUCAGCCAUCUUUAGAAUGCAUUCUGCAAGUGAGACUCUGUCAGGCUGAACAUGAACCCUGCAUGCCUGCUUCACUGAUCUUCUCUGCCUUGUACCAGAUGCUGUACUAGUUCCCACUGCUAAUGGCAGGUUGAGUCCCCAGUGAGCCAAAACCCAGCCUAGCCUAGUAUCCUGCUGUCUGCUUGGCUAACAGUGUUCAUGUAGCAUCUCGGCUAUGCCAGGGCUAAAUUAGGCAAUGUGAAAUCAGCACUUCAACACUUUUAACAAGGGUGCGCUUAGUACUUUUACACUCCGGGGAGGAUGUUACUGAAGUGAUGUACAUUAAAAACAGAAAUAGCUGUGAAACAUACUCUGGAACUACCAAAACAAGAUUGUUUUCAGAUCUUUCCAUUACCCUAUUCAUUGACAAGAGGCAGGUCUGGUUUUCACUGUAGUACAGGCCAUGUUUCACCUCUAAGAGUAAUAACAAAUGUCAACCCAGCAGGCACUCACCAAGCUGUUGCCAAAAUGCUAUUUGAUAUAUGUCCUUUAAUUUACAAAGAGAAAAUGUAACUUGGCAUAUAAGCCAAGAGGAAUUAGUAUGAAUCAAAAUAAUUGUGAGAAUAUAAUAUUAGCAUGCCAGGUGAAAAACCUACAAGGGCAUUUUAAAAAUGAUGUCCCUAGCCCAAAACCAUAUAUACCUUAUCUUUCAUUUGGCCAUGCUGUUUUUAUUUAACAUCUCAUAAGCGGUUUAUUACACAAAUCUAGCCAGUUGUAUUGCAAUGAACAUUUGGACAACUUGCUUCUCUGCCACUGAUUCACAUACCCUGUAUCAACAAAUAAGAAAAUGGUAAAGUAUAUAUGCUAAUGUGCCGAUUUCCUAAUUCACCACUAUGCCACUUCUGAUAAGGGCAGUCCUCUAGAGGAGCAUGUAUUUUUAGAGGGGCCCACCCAAUGGUGGGCCAAGCAGAGAACUGCUAGAGCCUGUCUAUGAGUCUUCAACCCCCUGGGUGCAUAACACUCACCCUAAAAUAGCAGUGAUUGUCAAGGAAAGGAAGUGAAAUGUAAUUGACUGAAAGUGGAGGGAUAAUUAAAGGAACCUGUUGGACAGGAGGGAAGAAAUUAAUGCCUCUCAUUUAAUAGCUGCUUUGGGAGAGAGCUUUUCCGUCAUCUCACUGUAGCACGGAAAGGGUUUUGCUGUGGAAAUAGGAUUUUGCAUGGAAAAAGGUAGAGGUGGAAAUAGGCAGUGGGUGGUGGGGGUGCUGUGUGCUAAACUGAAACUCCACAAAAUCACUCCCGAUACUCAGGGCAUCAGGCACUAUGAUGUCAUGAUUAGUGGAGAGGUUCAGAGCCUUGCCUUACCCCUGAUCCUGAAGGAGGUUGAACAGAAUCAUAAAUAUGGAGGUCAGAUCGCAUUCAAUCGUGGGGAGUGCUGAGCCAGCAGAAGUGAUGACGAACCACCUUAAUUGUGCUUUGAACUUUUAGUAUCAUCAUCCAAUUCCAAGAGUAACAAACAAAAAGAUACCAUCAUCCACCAAACAAUGCACAGUGUUGGCGCUGGAGGUGUGCCAUUAUGUUAAACAACAUGGCUGACAGUAAUGAAGACAAAGACCUUUUUUUAUUCCUUAAUGUAAAUAGCCUAUAAAAUACAAAAAAACAGAGGAAGGUUGUAUAGCAGCUUGUGUUAAGAUAACCCAACUCUGUGGGACAAUGAUGUCACUAUAAAAUGUAUCCACAGCAGUGCAGGGAUCUCUGAGAGUUUUAGUCCUUUUAAGCCCCUUAAGUUUGGGCUCUGAACAUGCAUCUUACAACUGUAAGCGUCGGACCAAGGCUCAGAGUAUUUGACUUAGUGUCAAACCUAAGCCACGGCCCUGAAGUGAUCCGUUAAUUAAGAUUCUGUGUACACCGACAUGUCAUGAUUUUUUCUGACAGAAGAAAGUUCGCCUGUGCGGUAAUUGGAUUAGUCCAAUUGGGACUGAUGAACAGAUAUGGCAGUGACAGCAGUAGAGUUCAUCCAUCUGCAUGCUUACCACUUGACAGUGCGACAAAAAAAAAAGGAAAAAAAAAGGAAAAAAAAAAAAGAAAAAAAAUAGCAUCAGCCAAAACAACACUUUUUCAAAUUCUCUGGAAGUGGAAGUUUGGGCUUUACAACAUUUAAGGAAGUUAGUUUUACAAAAUGAAACUCCAGGUAACAGUUUGUUCAACAUGUACAUAAAUCAUCAUUUAAUACACUUGGUCAAACCCACAUGUACAUGGUUAGGCUGAGAUUGGAGGAAGGGGACAAACAAGAGAGCAGAACGUUGUAUCGUAGAACCUAGCAGAACCCCCUGCCUGCUUGACCCAAUCUGCCACUGCUCUCUUGACCACACAGCUGCGUUACUCCUGUACAUACAAUAUAGCUUAUUUUUUAAUUCUGUUGAACCUUCUUUAUAGGCCGUACAAUAGAUCAUGUUCAAACGUUUAAAAAAAAUUAAAAGAAUAGUUAAUAUAUUUCAGUGAAACUAAGAGAAGGAACCUAUGAAAUGAUUUAUCAAAAACAGAAGAUAAAAUGAUGUUAUUUCUUGUACAGUGAAGCACUGAUGUUCAACAAUGGGAUUUUAUACUCAUGUUAGUGAAUGGUUCUUUAUUUUCUCUGUUUUGUUUUGUUAUUAUCUGCUGAAGCUGGGAUAGACCCAUUGUCAUGAGGCUUAUUCGCUUUGAUCAUUUUUCUUUUUUCCCCUUUUUUUUAUGGCUGUACCAACCCUGUAUGAAAUCCCUCACGGGCAAGUUCAAAGAGAUUUUUGUUCACUGAAAGGUCUUAAAUCAAUACAAGAAUUAAAAAACCUGCACUGUAAAAGGAUGACUGAUGGUACUGGUCAUGUGGAUUCAGAAAAAAAUGAGGCAAUUGCACAACUGAGUUCAAAUGAAUCAGCAUUGCAUGUUCAAAAAGAAUCUCAUUUGGGGCCUUUUGUUGUUUUGAGAGGAAAAAAAAGACAAAAAAAAUCAAAAUUUGCAGUCAGAUUGGUUUUGAGACAUAUGCUGUCAUAUCUCAUUGUCUUCUGGUUUCCUGUAAUGUUCUUGUGUUUCUGUCACAAUGUAUUUUUUUUUUCUUUUUCUUUUGUUGGAAGGGAAUCAUUGACAUAUCUCUGAUUUUCAUCUUCUCUGUUCUUACCUAUGGGAAGUUUCUUCCACAGUUUGUUCUCUAAUGUGACUCCAUUCACUGACAACAUUGUACCAACAGUAGAUAGUGCCACAUUGCUUUCCUCCAGUCAGGUUGAUUUGUUAGUGAGGAGGGAAUUCUGCCUUAAAUCCAGCCUGUUCUCUCUGACAGUACUACCUGUGAACAGUGGUCACACACACUGUAUUCUGGGGAUGCCAAAUGUUUUACCUUCAAAGGUCGGAAAAUCAGUUGUAAAGACAAACACUUUGCCAGAGUCAGUUUUUGCCUCAAGCCCAUUCUGAUAAGGACGUGGUCAUCCACCUCCAUUUCCAUUGGUUACAAGGACCAAAAUGUAAACAAACUCAGCUAACUGAGCAGUUUGCUCCAAUCAAGCAUUCAAUGAGAGCCUUUAAAGAAUUCAUAUUUAGUCAUAGGUAAUUUUGCACCGUGGAUCUUUGUAUCAUGAAUCAUUACAUUCCCAGCUUCACUAUCUAAUUUCAUCCUCUUCAUUUGUUCCCAUGCAAAAUUCAUUUAUCAUAAUAUAUUUGGGUAUUUACAUUCACAAUGAAUGGAAUAAUCAUUUCUUUUGUUAUUGGACUUGAACAAACUGAUUUACUGUUUUCUUUUUGUUUGAAACAGAGAUGUAAUUUGAAUAAGCGUUGGCUCGGGUCCGUUUCCCUGAUUUGGGACAAUAUCUCCCAUAGUGCUCCUGAACUCUGUAGUUCUCUAGUUCAUUAUAUUCUGCUUAGACUAAAAUAAAGCACAGUCCUGUAGAAGAUUGA